rnacentral:tRNA from 1 species
UCUGGUGUAGCUCAGUUGGUAGAGCGUAUGAUUUUUUUUUGAAGGUUUAUCAUAAUGUCGGCGGUUCGAGUCCGUCCACCGGAG